CAGUAGCCGCGGGAACACCGAGGGUGCAAGCGUUAAUCGGAAUUACUGGGCGUAAAGCGCGCGUAGGUGGUUUGUUAAGUUGGAUGUGAAAUCCCCGGGCUCAACCUGGGAACUGCAUCCAAAACUGGCAAGCUAGAGUAUGGUAGAGGGUAGUGGAAUUUCCUGUGUAGCGGUGAAAUGCGUAGAUAUAGGAAGGAACACCAGUGGCGAAGGCGACUACCUGGACUGAUACUGACACUGAGGUGCGAAAGCGUGGGGAGCAAACAGGAUUAGAUACCCCCGUAGUCCCUGUCUCUUAUAA
rnacentral:rRNA from 1 species